ensembl:lncRNA
CCCGAAAGCAGCGGCAGCGGCGGGAAGGGGCUCCAAGGAGCAAAGAAGUUCCUUACUGUGAGGCUGCCAUGGCAGACGUUUUCUUUGGAAUAUACAAGUGGUGUUCCAGUGCGUAAACGUGGGAGGAUACAGGACAGGAGACCCGGAACGUCCGUGCCGUGAGAGACCGGCCGGUCCUCCUGCAGUCCUCUCACACCUGCAGGGUCAGAACAGGUGAACAGACUGAGACGGCUGUUGGUGUGCAGUCCCUGACAGGAGCAGCGGAAGAGCCUUAAGGAAGCGGGGCUCUCCCAGAAGAGAGAGGCACGCAAACACUGCUGCUGUAAAGCUUCAGGUGAUGGGCUGCGACAAUUGCGUGUGCAGCCCUGAGCUCCUCUGCACUCAGCGGUGAGAAACGGGACCCGCCAGAGAUCUGUCAGAGCGCUCCGUCUCUGCUGAGCGCGGUACCGACAGCCGCGCACCGCUCCGCGCCACUCACCGCGCCGCGUCCACCCGCAGCUCCUGGAGGGCCGUCCGCAGGCUGCGCUCCUCCUCGUCCUCGUCGUCGUCGUCGUCGUCCUCGUCCUCGUCGUCGUCCUGCUGCUGCUGCUGCUGCUCCUCCUCGUCCUCGUGCCGCCUGUUUGCAAGCCAAGGACACGUGAAAGGAACGUCAGCGGGACUGAGGCGGAGCUGCACCCAGCCUGUGGUGGGCGACCCAAUAAAAGCCAAG